GCUGGUAUGGUGUAGUUCGGCCCAUCAUGGAGCCCUCUCGAGGCUUCGACCCGGGUUCAAAUCCCGGUACUAGCG
rnacentral:tRNA from 1 species